AAGAUUGGCCGAGAGGCCUUUAUCUAUAUCCCUCACCUCUGUGGACCGUUGACCCUCGGGUCUAUUACAAAUAUCAGUGUAAAUGAACGUGAAUAACAUUAACAAAACA
rnacentral:misc_RNA from 1 species